UACGUAGGGGGCGAGCGUUGUCCGGAUUUAUUGGACGUAAAGAGCGUGUAGGCGGCCAGGUAGGUCCGUUGUGAAAACUCGAGGCUCAACCUCGAGACGUCGAUGGAAACCAUCUGGCUAGAGUCCGGAAGAGGAGAGUGGAAUUCCUGGUGUAGCGGUGAAAUGCGCAGAUAUCAGGAGGAACACCGAUGGCGAAGGCAGGUCGUCUGGGCGAUUAACUGACGCUGAGGAGCGAAAGCAUGGGGAGCGAACAGG
rnacentral:rRNA from 1 species